AGACCCGAAACCCGGUGAUCUAGCCAUGGGCAGGUUGAAGGUUGGGUAACACUAACUGGAGGACCGAACCGACUAAUGUUGAAAAAUUAGCGGAUGACCUGUGGCUGGGGGUGAAAGGCCAAUCAAACCGGGAGAUAGCUGGUUCUCCCCGAAAGCUAUUUAGGUAGCGCCUCGUGAAUUCAUCUCCGGGGGUAGAGCACUGUUUCGGCUAGGGGGCCAUCCCGGCUUACCAACCCGAUGCAAACUGCGAAUACCGGAGAAUGUUAUCACGGGAGACACACGGCGGGUGCUAACGUCCGUCGUGAAGAGGGAAACAACCCAGACCGCCAGCUAAGGUCCCAAAGUCAUGGUUAAGUGGGAAACGAUGUGGGAAGGCCCAGACAGCCAGGAUGUUGGCUUAGAAGCAGCCAUCAUUUAAAGAAAGCGUAAUAGCUCACUGGUCGAGUCGGCCUGCGCGGAAGAUGUAACGGGGCUAAACCAUGCACCGAAGCUGCGGCAGCGAACGUAUCACUUAAAGCGAUUCAGCGGAUGACGAUUGACGGAGCGAAGCGACGUCAAAGCGUAUACAAAGUCGAGUCGGUUUAAGGAUACGUUCGUUGGGUAGGGGAGCGUUCUGUAAGCCUGCGAAGGUGGCCUGUGAGGGUUGCUGGAGGUAUCAGAAGUGCGAAUGCUGACAUAAGUAACGAUAAAGCGGGUGAAAAGCCCGCUCGCCGGAAGACCAAGGGUUCCUGUCCAACGUUAAUCGGGGCAGGGUGAGUCGACCCCUAAGGCGAGGCCGAAAGGCGUAGUCGAUGGGAAACGGGUUAAUAUUCCCGUACUUGGUGUUACUGCGAAGGGGGGACGGAGAAGGCUAUGUUGGCCGGGCGACGGUUGUCCCGGUUUAAGCGUAUAGGUGUGUGUUCCAGGUAAAUCCGGUUCACUUUAACACUGAGGCGUGAUGACGAGGCGCUACGGUGCUGAAGCAACAAAUGCCCUGCUUCCAGGAAAAGCCUCUAAGCAUCAGGUAACAUCAAAUCGUACCCCAAACCGACACAGGUGGUCAGGUAGAGAAUACCAAGGCGCUUGAGAGAACUCGGGUGAAGGAACUAGGCAAAAUGGUGCCGUAACUUCGGGAGAAGGCACGCUGACAUGUAGGUGAAGUGAUUUACUCACGGAGCUGAAGUCAGUCGAAGAUACCAGCUGGCUGCAACUGUUUAUUAAAAACACAGCACUGUGCAAACACGAAAGUGGACGUAUACGGUGUGACGCCUGCCCGGUGCCGGAAGGUUAAUUGAUGGGGUCAGCGCAAGCGAAGCUCCUGAUCGAAGCCCCGGUAAACGGCGGCCGUAACUAUAACGGUCCUAAGGUAGCGAAAUUCCUUGUCGGGUAAGUUCCGACCUGCACGAAUGGCGUAAUGAUGGCCAGGCUGUCUCCACCCGAGACUCAGUGAAAUUGAACUCGCUGUGAAGAUGCAGUGUACCCGCGGCAAGACGGAAAGACCCCGUGAACCUUUACUAUAGCUUGACACUGAACAUUGAGCCUUGAUGUGUAGGAUAGGUGGGAGGCUUUGAAGUGUGGACGCCAGUCUGCAUGGAGCCGACCUUGAAAUACCACCCUUUAAUGUUUGAUGUUCUAACGUGGACCCGUAAUCCGGGUUGCGGACAGUGUCUGGUGGGUAGUUUGACUGGGGCGGUCUCCUCCUAAAGAGUAACGGAGGAGCACGAAGGUUGGCUAAUCCUGGUCGGACAUCAGGAGGUUAGUGCAAUGGCAUAAGCCAGCUUGACUGCGAGCGUGACGGCGCGAGCAGGUGCGAAAGCAGGUCAUAGUGAUCCGGUGGUUCUGAAUGGAAGGGCCAUCGCUCAACGGAUAAAAGGUACUCCGGGGAUAACAGGCUGAUACCGCCCAAGAGUUCAUAUCGACGGCGGUGUUUGGCACCUCGAUGUCGGCUCAUCACAUCCUGGGGCUGAAGUAGGUCCCAAGGGUAUGGCUGUUCGCCAUUUAAAGUGGUACGCGAGCUGGGUUUAGAACGUCGUGAGACAGUUCGGUCCCUAUCUGCCGUGGGCGCUGGAGAACUGAGGGGGGCUGCUCCUAGUACGAGAGGACCGGAGUGGACGCAUCACUGGUGUUCGGGUUGUCAUGCCAAUGGCACUGCCCGGUAGCUAAAUGCGGAAGAGAUAAGUGCUGAAAGCAUCUAAGCACGAAACUUGCCCCGAGA
rnacentral:rRNA from 1 species